UUCAUUUUAAUUGUUCAGAUGUAGUUGAUGCGAGUUUCUUGGCUCCAUAUAUUUUUUUCUUCUUGUUCUGAAACAAAUAAAAGUUGAGUUUGUGGCUCUUUUUCUUCACUAAUUGCUGCUGUAACGAUUUGUUGUGGUGCCCGUAAGGAGGUGAUUGUCAAAUGAAACAUUUUUAAUCGUGUUCAUUUCAGUGUUGUCAAAGGCUCAUUUAUGACACACUUAAGUUUUGAAGCUCAGGCUAGGUGCUUCGCUUCACUUUGGCUGCGUUUCAGUGUAUGCAAGGCACGAAGGUAUAUAUUUGUUGCAGUAGUUAUCUGGAGAUCUCAUAUGAUGGAAAUCAAGGCAGACAGAAAUGAUGGAUCCUUUGUUGUAGUCAAGCACGGAGCUGAGGCUGACGUCCAUUGUUUACAAAGAAAUACAGGCAUCUAACUGUGGAAUCAAAGCUUACUCGUGAAGACUUAAGUGGGUUGGUGUAAAUGAUAGCAGUUGUAUUCUUUAGUCUCUUCAUACCUCAAAGUUGUGCUGCUAACAAUUUUGAAUAACGGAGUAGGAGACCAGGUGCAUACUCAAAGCAAUAUGCUAUUGACGCUGCUAUGCAUCUCACUUUUGAGUAUGUUGAAGGUCCCUCAUGAAAAUAUAUUCCUUGGUUUGGUUUACUUGAGAUUAUUGAAGAAAUGAUCGCAGAUGAACUGAUUGGCGAUGCUAUUGGAAAACUACAUAAUGGUGGCAUUGUCCAUGGGAUUUGGUGGCAUCCAACAUGUUGAUGAGGUUUGCUGCCAAUCAGCUAGGAAGUCAUCACAUCACUCUUGGAUGUGCAUUCACUAGUGCAAUG